GGCGCUUAUAAGCAACGGCAGGCUAGGCUGCUGCCAACAGCGGAGGACUCCUUCCACGUCCCGCCCGAGCCGCCCGCUCCCCGGCAACCGCAGCUCCAGCGACGCCCCCUCCUCCCCACUACUAGUAGUAGAGUCCACCCACCACACAGGCACAUCCCCUACCCGGAGAGGCAGAGAGAGCUCUCCUCGUGGACUAGGGACUAGAAGAGGAGGAGAGCCAUGUCUGCCGCAGCCUGCGCGCCGACGCGGCUCGGGAUAUCGCUCGCGUUCGCCGACCGGAUGGCGCCGCCGCCGCCCCAGCCGCCGGCGCUCGAGGAGGAGGACCCGGCCGGCGAGGGGUGCGUGAACGCGCAGCUCUGGCUCGCGUGCGCGGGCUCCAUGUGCACCGUCCCGCCUGUCGGCGCCGCAGUCUACUACUUCCCGCAGGGCCACGCGGAGCAGGCCAGCGACGCCGUCGACGUGCUGUCCGCCGCGCGCGGCGUCCCGCCCUUCGUCCCGUGCCGCGUCGUCGCCGUCAGGUACAUGGCCGAGCCACACACCGACGAGGUCUUCGCCAGGAUACGCCUCGCCCCGCUCCGCCCCGGGGAGCCCGUGGCGGACGUCGGCGACGCCGCCGCGGGCGAGGCCGGGGACGACCACCAGCACCAGCACCAGCACCAGCCCAAGCCGGCGUCCUUCGCCAAGACGCUCACGCAGUCCGACGCCAACAACGGCGGCGGCUUCUCCGUGCCGCGCUUCUGCGCCGAGACCAUCUUCCCGGAGCUGGACUACCGGGCGGAGCCGCCCGUGCAGAGCGUCUACGCCCGGGACGUGCACGGCGUCGAGUGGACGUUCCGCCACAUCUACCGGGGCACCCCGCGCCGCCACCUGCUCACCACGGGCUGGAGCAACUUCGUCAACAAGAAGAAGCUCCUGGCCGGCGACUCCAUCGUCUUCCUGCGCGGCGAGAAUGGCAGGGUCCACGUGGGCCUGCGCCGCGCCAAGCGCGGCUUCGGCGCCGGCGGGGCCGGAUGCGACGACGGCUCCCCCUCCCUGUCCGGUUGGGACCCCUACGGGGCCCUGGCGCGGGGCAAUGCCGGCGCCGGCGCGCGCUCGCCGAGCGGCAAGGUCCCGCCCGAGGACGUGGUCGCCGCCGCGAGGCUGGCCGCCGCCGGGCAGCCGUUCGAGGUGGUGCACUACCCGCGCGCCAGCACGCCCGAGUUCUGCGUGCGCGCGGCCGCGGUGAGGGCGUCCAUGCAGGUGCCGUGGUGCCCCGGCAUGCGGUUCAAGAUGGCUUUCGAGACCGAGGACUCGUCGCGGAUCAGCUGGUUCAUGGGCACCAUCUCCGGCGUCCACGCCGCCGACGCCGCCCGCUGGCCGCAGUCGCCCUGGCGGCUCCUCCAGGUGACCUGGGACGAGCCGGAGCUCCUGCAGAACGUCAAGCGCGUGUGCCCGUGGCUGGUCGAGCAGGUCUCGAGCAUGCCCAACCUCCACCUGCCCAACUUCUCGCCGCCGCCGCGCAAGAAGCAGCGCCUCCCGGAGUUCCCCUUCGAGGGCCAGCCGCUUUUCGACCCGCCCUUCCCGCCCGCCCGCCCGCUCCCUCCGCUGGCGCCCCACCCGCGCCCCCACCACGACCACGGCGGCCUCAUCCCCUUCUUCCCCUUCCCGGACAGCAGCGCUGCUGCAAGCAUACAGGGAGCCAGGCAUGCGCAACUCGCUCCAUUCUUUUCGGAUCUCCACAUCGGCAACCUGCAGCAAAGCUUGCUGUUCUGCGGCGUCCGCCCCGCCGAUCACCACGCCGCCCCCGCCGCGCCGAGGAUCAGCACCGACCUGGCAAUCGGCAACCCGCCGCCCCGCCGCGACGCGCCGCGCUCUCCACCAGCUGCCGCCGACAAGGCCGACGACGUCAAGCCGGUGGGGAUAAUGCUUUUCGGGCGGGCGAUACUGACCGAGGAGCAGAUGAAGAGCAGCAGCCCGACCUCGCCGGGAGCCACCAGAAAAAGGUCGCCCAACACACCGGAUCGCUCCGGCUCCGGCUCCGGCGUCACCGAGGGCAGCCCUGCAAAGAACAACUUUGGGCUGGAGCCCGGGCACGGGCAGUGCAAGGUGUUCGUGGAGUCGGACGCCGUCGGCCGGAACCUCGACCUCUCGGCGCUGGGCUCGUUCGAGGAGCUGUGCGCCCGCCUGUCCCGCCUGUUCCGCAUCGACGACGCUGACCUGAGGAGCCACGUGCUGUACCGCACCGCCGCCGGCGAGGUGAAGCACGUCGGCGAUGAGCCUUUCAAUGCGUUCGUGAGAUCAGCGCGGAGGAUCACAAUACUGGGUGACGCCGGCAGCGACAGCACGGGGAGCCAAUGAGCAGUCCCCCGAGACCAGCUGCAAAUAACUUAGGGCGGCGCUACACUCCUAGGACGCGCGCAAUAAGCCGGGUGCACGGCUGAAGGAGCUAGCUGCAUGCGGUUUUCUUCUUCCGAUCGGCAGGCCUAGGGAGUUCACAGCUUAGCCAAGGGAGCUAGGCUGAUGCGUGUGUUCAGCUAGGAUGUUGAAACUCGAAGCUCUGUGCCGGUUCAGAAGCAAGGCCGGCUGCUCCUAGUCCUGGGCUCUGUUGGCAUCCCGACCCGGUGGCAGGGAGACAGGAGCAGCAGGCAGGUGGCCGGGCCAGCGAGCCAGAUCCUGGGCCUCCUGUUGCGUAUCCCUUGCUGCCUUUGAUGCUGCUCUGGUGAGUGGUGAUGCCUCCAGUCCAACCAGGGGCCUGCCUGUCCUUUGCCUGCCGCGGCAAAAUAAUUGUGCUGCUUGCCCGUUUCGCUCCCGGGAAUAGGAUCCACUCCAACAGUAGUGUAGUGCCGCUCCCACUGCCGCCCUGUUCAUCGUUGCUUGUUUGUUCCUGCUGCUGAUAAGUUCUUGCCUGCUGCUACCACUGGGUGCUGGUUCUUGUCUUCUUGGAGCUUUGCUCUACUGCUAGCUCCGGGUGCUGGACGACUGAUCAGCGAGUACGUGAU